GACGAACCGUCCAAACGUUAUUCGGAAUUACUGGGCUUAAAGGGUGCGUAGGCGGUGCUACAAGUCGGGUGUGAAAUCCCUCAGCUUAACUGAGGAAUUGCGCCCGAAACUGUAGUGCUGGAGUGAGGCAGGGGUGAGCGGAACUGAUGGUGGAGCGGUGAAAUGUGUUGAUAUCAUCAGGAACACCGGUGGCGAAGGCGGCUCACUGGGCCUUUACUGACGCUGAGGCACGAAAGCUAGGGGAGCAAAC
rnacentral:rRNA from 1 species